UGUGGUGUUCGGGAGGGUCCAUUAUCCCGAGAUUAUGCGGUGCGUCCAAGUCCUUCUUGAACGGGGCCACAGCCCAUAGAGGGUGCCAGGCCCGUAGCGACCGCCGCUGAUCGCGGGAGGAUCUCUCCUUAGAGUCGGGUUGCUUGAGAGUGCAGCCCUAAGUGGGUGGUAAACUCCAUCUAAGGCUAAAUAUGACCACGAGACCGAUAGCGAACAAGUACCGUGAGGGAAAGUUGAAAAGCACUUUGAAGAGAGAGUUCAAGAGUACGUGAAACCGUUUAGGGGUAAACCUGAGAAACCCGAAAGGUCGAAGGGAGAAAUUCAUUCGCGUUUCGUCGCAGGCGUUAGAUGGUCGCGUGACGGGAAGCGUUCGCGUUUUCCGCGCCCUCCGUCUAUCGAACCGGCAGCGAACGCGUGCACUUUUCUCCUGGUAGGACGUCGCGAUCCGUUGAGCGUCGGUCUACGGCUCGCGGUGGAGCCCGUUCGUGCCACGUGUGCGAGCGGACCCGCGUGUCCCGGCUGACUCGCUCGACGGUAUACGAAAGGUCAAAGGCCGCUCUCGGAGCGUUCGACUCGCGGCAAGCGCGCCAGAUGCGUCGGCGAUCGGACCCGGUGCCGAUUCUGACCUCUGGUGACUGUUGGCCGCGAAUGUCUCGGACAGACCUUCCGACCGAUCUGCGACGCUAUAGCUUUGGGUACUUUCAGGACCCGUCUUGAAACACGGACCAAGGAGUCUAGCAUGUGCGCGAGUCAUUGGGAAUCACUAAACCUAAAGGCGCAAUGAAAGUAAAGGUCUUCCUCGCGGAGACUGAGGGAGGACGGGCGGUUUACCCUUAAAAGUGGCCGCUCAGCACUCCCGGGGCGUCUCGUUCUCAUUGCGAGAAGAGGCGCACCAUGAGCGUACACGCUGGGACCCGAAAGAUGGUG
rnacentral:rRNA from 1 species